rnacentral:rRNA from 1 species
GACGAACGCUGGCGGCGUGCUUAACACAUGCAAGUCGAACGAAGUGGCGAACGGGUGAGUAACGCGUAAUCAACCUGCCCUUCAGAGGGGGACAACAGUUGGAAACGACUGCUAAUACCGCAUACUGAAGGAGGGGAUUGCGUCUGUUUAGCUAGUUGGAGGGGUAACGGCCCACCAAGGCGAUGAUCAGUAGCCGGGCUGAAGGGCUUAAGGGCCAAAUUGGGGCUGAUGCACGGCCCAGACUCCUACGGGAGGCAGCAGGGGGGAAUCUUCCGGAAUGGACGAAAGUCUGAAGGAGCAACGCCGCGGGAGUGAUGACGGCCUUCGGGUUGUAAAGCUCUGUUAAUCGGGACGCGGUACCGGAAUAGAAAGCCACGGCUAACUACGUGCCAGCAGCCGCGGUAAUUC